GGGUCUCUUCGGAGGCCAGCGGCGGACGGGUGAGGAACACGUGGGUAAUCUGCCUUUCAGGCCGGAAUAACGCCCGGAAACGGGCGCUAAUGCCGGAUACGCCCGCGAGGAGGCAUCUUCUUGCGGGGGAAGGCCCAAUUGGGCCGCUGAGAGAGGAGCCCGCGGCGCAUUAGCUGGUUGGCGGGGUAACGGCCCACCAAGGCGACGAUGCGUAGCCGACCUGAGAGGGUGACCGGCCACACUGGGACUGAGACACGGCCCAGACUCCUACGGGAGGCAGCAGUAGGGAAUCUUCCGCAAUGGGCGCAAGCCUGACGGAGCAACGCCGCGUGAGCGAAGAAGGCCUUCGGGUUGUAAAGCUCUGUUGCUCGGGGAGAGCGGCAUGGGGGGUGGAAAGCCCCAUGCGAGACGGUACCGAGUGAGGAAGCCCCGGCUAACUACGUGCCAGCAGCCGCGGUAAAACGUAGGGGGCGAGCGUUGUCCGGAAUCACUGGGCGUAAAGGGUGCGUAGGCGGUCGAGCAAGUCUGGAGUGAAAGUCCAUGGCUCAACCAUGGGAUGGCUUUGGAAACUGCUUGACUUGAGUGCUGGAGAGGCAAGGGGAAUUCCACGUGUAGCGGUGAAAUGCGUAGAGAUGUGGAGGAAUACCAGUGGCGAAGGCGCCUUGCUGGACAGUGACUGACGCUGAGGCACGA
rnacentral:rRNA from 1 species